CUCCAACGAGCGCAACCCUGACGCAGCCAUGCCGCGUGAAUGAAGAAGGCCUUCGGGUUGUAAAGUUCUUUCGGUAGCGAGGAAGGUGGUUAGUUUAAUAGGCUAGCCAAUUGACGUUAACUACAGAAGAAGCACCGGCUAACUCCGUGCCAGCAGCCGCGGUAAUACGGAGGGUGCGAGCGUUAAUCGGAAUAACUGGGCGUAAAGGGCACGCAGGCGGACUUUUAAGUGAGGUGUGAAAGCCCCGGGCUUAACCUGGGAAUUGCAUUUCAGACUGGGAGUCUAGAGUACUUUAGGGAGGGGUAGAAUUCCACGUGUAGCGGUGAAAUGCGUAGAGAUGUGGAGGAAUACCGAAGGCGAAGGCAGCCCCUUGGGAAUGUACUGACGCUCAUGUGCGAAA
rnacentral:rRNA from 1 species